GAAAGCCAUAUGAUGGGAAACUAUCACGUAUGGUUUGGGUGGCAGCAACAAGAUCGUAGAAUAAAUAAUACUGAUUGUAUAAGUUGACCACAC
rfam:Metschnikowia bicuspidata var. bicuspidata NRRL YB-4993 METBIscaffold_4, whole genome shotgun sequence.